UACGUAGGGGGCUAGCGUUGUCCGGAUUUAUUGGGCGUAAAGAGCGUGUAGGCGGCUUGACAGGUCUGCUGUGAAAACUCGAGGCUCAACCUCGAGAUGUCGGCGGAAACCGUCUGGCUAGAGUCCGGAAGAGGAGAGUGGAAUUCCUGGUGUAGCGGUGAAAUGCGCAGAUAUCAGGAAGAACACCUAUGGCGAAGGCAGCUCUCUGGGACGGUACUGACGCUGAGACGCGAAAGCGUGGGGAGCGAACAGG
rnacentral:rRNA from 1 species